AGGCGGACCUAGACUAGAGCAGGUUGAGAGCAGCAUGUGGGGCGGUGGACACGGAUGGACCUAGGUGGGAUCUCUUGUACUUCCUGGUUUUUCUGUCUCGCUUCUUUCUCCUGCAACUGACCUCGCAAGGCCAGAGACGGCCUGCCACCGUGGAGCUGGGGAUGAAGGCGCCCCCCCCCCCAGCUGUGGCCCAGAUACCAGCCAUCUUUGUGGGUGUUUUAUUUAAAAAAGAAAACCCAAACCAAACCGGCCUCUGUGUAGUAUUCCCAGGGUGACAGGAAGGCGAUGCCCUUCACCAAGCAAAGGGUCUUGAGAACCAGGGUCCCACCAUGCACAGCGGCUCUAGGCUUGUCCACUCACACUCCCCCACCCCCACACCUCCACACUCUCAUUUGUAACACAGAAUACAGAUUUCCAUGCCAGGGUCUGUCAUGCUCGGAUUUCUGGCUGUCCCUUCUGAAUAGGCUGGUCCACCUCACAGCCACAUCCCGCCCAUUCCUUCUCCGGGACUCCGAUUGGCCUCAACUGCCUAUGCUUUCCUUUCAUCUAAGGCCCGUGACCUCAGGGUCUGCCUAUAGCCUCCCUUCAUGUCCUUGAAGAGGCACAUGACCAAGGGACCAGUGCAGGCCCAGCUCCUCAUUCUCAUUGGCUAGCUGCUUCAGGGUGAGGAGCCAUCAGGGAGCCCCACCUCCUGUAUCCAGACUAGAAGACUGUUCCAUGCAGACUGACCCAAAGAGAGGUCAGGUGGAGAAAAGAAAGUGGCCUGGGGGUGACUUCCAUCCAGCAGGGGCGGGGAGGAGGGCCUGAAUUGGUUUGUCAUAUUUGGACAGCCAGUGCAGUCUGGGAACCCUAUAAACCUAUUUCCCUCUCCAUCCUAUGCCGCUGUUAGACAUAUACCUGGAAAUAAACAGUUUCGAGGGGACUCAGAGGGGAGAAACGGCUGGCCAAGUGAGCAAAAAUCAUCAUGUGAAGGAAUAUAACGAAGAGCAAGUUCUGUUUUCAUGGUACCUUUGGCAUCUAACGAAAGAGGACAUGGUUGUCCAGGCAACAGCUGCUAUGGAAACCGGAGUUAUUUCACAGCCAGCCUAGCUUCCACUGGAGGGAAAUGCUGAUUCAGGCCUGGGUGUGGACACCAUGGAUACGAAGGGCCUGCUGUAUUCACUGCUCUCUGGAUACAAAAGUGUGUACCUGGCCAACUACAGCCAUCCAGGAACUGAAGCGGUCAGGCAGGCACUGCCCUCAGGAUACUGAGAACUCGCCAGCGUCACGGCCCGAAAAAGGUGGACAAAGGUGGACAAAAACUGAGGACAAAGGUGCAGCCAGCCGACCCCACAAGGACUUCGCUGGGAGCCACGAGGAGGCCACACUGGGCUUUUUUUUUUUUUUUUUAAAUGCUCCUUUGGAAAAAGCAGAGGUGACCAGAUAUCCAGCAAGAGCCUCUUGCUGACUCAGGAUCGAGGCCUCUGCGUGAGUCUGAAACACAGAUCCCAAACACUGGAGUGGCAAACUAUGGCCCUGGUGGCCGGCCACUGGCGUGAAAUGAGAGCCCGGGCACAGCAGGAGGAGGCGGUAGGCUGCCAGGGGCAGGAAGGAUGGAACCAUGAGUCAGGAGAAAGGGGCAGCUAGGUGUUGCAGGAGGCUGGAGAGACCUGGGCAUGAGACAGACCCGUGCUUCAGGGUGAGGGUCUGAUGACACACGCUGCGAGUUAAAAGAGUGUGGAACGGGUGCCAGUCACAAGCUCGUGGGCAGCAAAGGCUUCCUGGGAGCACUUGAGCAGAGGCCAGAAUAAAAUAGGGAACCUGCCCUGUCAUCUUGGGCUAAUGCCUUCCAGCAGAGGAAGCAGCUGGGAAUUGACAGAAACACUCAAGGAGGCUGGGAAGGAGGGAGGCAGGGGAAAGAGGAGGCUAUACCCCUAGCCUCAGGAAUGGCCAUGGCAGUCUGCGGGAGACAGCAGCCCCUGGGAAGUUUAUGCACAGGACUAUCGUGUGCAUUUUUAAAGGGUUGUACUGCACAAAGAAAAAUGAGGACAUGGGGAGGAGGCUCCUGCAGGUAACCUCACAGGGGGAUCGGCUGUGGACCAGGAGCAAUGGAACCGAGGAUGAAGAGCUUACUAAACAUGCAGCUCACCUCUGGCCCUACAGGCUACCACCCUCAAAAAACCCAGGAGUGGGCGCUUUGCUCGAGGUUGAAUGACCAACCACGCCCUGUUCAGGGGCAGGGCUGUGGCCUCACGCGGCUGGACUCCCCAGAGCCCCUGCCUAGCCACCUGAUCCCAAUCCCUGCUGCUCCUUCUGCCCCGAGGCUGGGAAGGUAGGUGGAAAUAAAACACAGAGCUGAAGGUGCUAAGUGCUGGGCUCCUGCCUAUCCCAGAUGCAAAACAAGGUGGGCGGGGUGCACACCCAGCCACACUGGAUGGACACUCAGGCGUCAGUUCUGGGUGGCUCUGAGCUCACGGGGAGGUUCUCCCCAUCACCACCGGCAAGACUGCGGGAAAACACGCAAUUUCCCUCUCCACCACAAGGUGGCACACGGCCCCAGGACCUGGAAGGGGUGACUCACCAGCUCUGUCACAUCCUGGCCCCGGAGCAGGGGCUUCUCCUCAGGGAAUCGCAGCUCCUGCAGCCCAGCCAUGGUCAUGUCGUGGAGCAGAAGCCCUAGAAGGAAGGGGACAUGAGGUUGGGCCUUGUUCUGAAGCUGCCCAGUGAGGGUAUCACAAGCCAGGGCUGCUGUCCCCAGGUGACCAUAACCGAUCUCUCUCCAACACCUGCUCAUGUCAAGGGAUGGUAUAUUGUAUUUGUUCUCUUCAAAUAAAAUCGUGAUUUGCAAAACUAA